rnacentral:rRNA from 1 species
UACGAAGGGUGCAAACGUUGCUCGGAAUCAUUGGGCGUAAAGCGCACGUAGGCGGCCCGAUAAGUCGGAUGUGAAAUCCCUCGGCUCAACCGAGGACGUGCAUUCGAAACUGUCGGGCUCGAGUAUGGAAGAGGGUCGCGGAAUUCCCGGUGUAGAGGUGAAAUUCGUAGAUAUCGGGAGGAACACCAGUGGCGAAGGCGGCGACCUGGGCCAAUACUGACGCUGAGGUGCGAAAGCGUGGGGAGCAAACGGG